rnacentral:rRNA from 1 species
GAUGAACGCUGGCGGCGUGCUUAACACAUGCAAGUCGAACGAAGCACUUUAACCUGAUUCUUCGGAUGAAGGUUUUUGUGACUGAGUGGCGGACGGGUGAGUAACGCGUGGGUAACCUGCCUCAUACAGGGGGAUAACAGUUAGAAAUGACUGCUAAUACCGCAUAAGACCACGGAGCCGCAUGGCUCAGUGGGAAAAACUCCGGUGGUAUGAGAUGGACCCGCGUCUGAUUAGGUAGUUGGUGGGGUAACGGCCUACCAAGCCAACGAUCAGUAGCCGACCUGAGAGGGUGACCGGCCACAUUGGGACUGAGACACGGCCCAAACUCCUACGGGAGGCAGCAGUGGGGAAUAUUGCACAAUGGGGGAAACCCUGAUGCAGCGACGCCGCGUGAGCGAAGAAGUAUUUCGGUAUGUAAAGCUCUAUCAGCAGGGAAGAAAAUGACGGUACCUGACUAAGAAGCACCGGCUAAAUACGUGCCAGCAGCCGCGGUAAUACGUAUGGUGCAAGCGUUAUCCGGAUUUACUGGGUGUAAAGGGAGCGUAGACGGCUGUGUAAGUCUGAAGUGAAAGCCCGGGGCUCAACCCCGGGACUGCUUUGGAAACUAUGCAGCUAGAGUGUCGGAGAGGUAAGUGGAAUUCCCAGUGUAGCGGUGAAAUGCGUAGAUAUUGGGAGGAACACCAGUGGCGAAGGCGGCUUACUGGACGAUGACUGAC